AAGAAAAGAAGUCUAGAAUCUGAUUAAAUUUUGGUUAUGAGCUAUUGACGUCUGCUAUGAAAAGAAUAGUGGGUGAAAUAUUGCAAAAUAUUAUACCUUGUAUCAUAGGAAAAAACCUAAGGAUUUAUUUUGUUUGGCAUCAUUUGUUUAAAAGCUUUGUCUUGGCUUGGACUUUAAGUCAAACCUGCCAUCCUUUAGAACUACAAAGUGGGAGAGUUCCCUCUUUCUACAAAGCUUAAAUUGAUUAGACAAACUAAACACAAUAGACCACUUUCAAGUUUGUCCGUCACUAGAAAAAAAUUCGUCAAUUAUGCGCGCCUUUAUAACGUCAUUUACCAGAUUGAAGGGAUGGCCUGUAUCCCUGCACUAUUAACCGUCAUCAAGCAUCUUAGUGAUCGUCAUUGUGCAGGAUAAACUAGCAAUAAUAUUUGUUCUGGAUGUACUUAAUCACAAUUCCCUAAUGACCGUCACAAGUGCUGAUUGUCAAUUAUUAGAAUUCAAUUUUCAGAAUAAUUAAUGCAAUAUACAAUGUAGCAUCAUAGUUUUCCAACCACUCGCUCAACAUGGGAACGAAAGUGACAAGGCCCCUUAACACACAAGUGAUGUUCACUAAAACCAAAAUAUUUGACUGAAAUGCAUCAAACUCGAAAGUUGUCUAUUCAGUUGUUUCAAUGAUUUUACUGCCUUGACACAAACCUCUGUGAUAUUUGUUAUUGUUAGAUAUGGUAUAGCUGUUUUGUUUGAUUCUUUUUGUUUUAAAAAAGUAGUUACAUGUUGUAAUAUUCAUACAUCCAAAAAACAUGUGAUUGCUUUCAAGCUUUUAUGAAUAAUGGAAAGAUUUUCCAUAUUACAGUUUAACCUGCCUCAUCCGACACUUGAGUAUUCUAACAUCCUGCAUUAAUCGACUUGAUUUUCAUAGUUCCAAAAUAUACCUAUCCUUGCAGUAUAACCCUGAGUAUUCAGACACCCUGCUUAAUCUGACAUUUUUUCCUCGUCCCCCAGUGUGUCGGAUAACACAGGUUACACUGUAUUAUGCUGUUCUCUGUAGAAGUGAGGCAAACUGUUUUGUGGUCAGUGUCUGUCCAUCGGUCAAAUGGAGUUUGAGUUUAAGAAAGUUUACUAUGAACUUGAAACCAUGUACCAAUGCUCAUUAUAAAUGGAUAACCUGCUUGCAAAAAUUGAAAUGGGACAAUUAGCUUAUAAUGUUAAUAAAAACAAUUAUGCAUAAUGUCAAUUUAACACGAUUCCCAGUAUAGAUGAAAGUGGCAAUAAAAAUAUUUUUAAAAUUCAAUUCUCAAGUCUAAUUCAUAGUUUUC
rnacentral:lncRNA from 1 species